AAAGCUGAAAAUGGUUUAAUAC
rnacentral:siRNA from 1 species